CCAUUCAGUCAGUCCACUUUUGGCUCUCGUCUCGUGCAGUUUAGCAAAGCAACCGAAUAAGUAAAUGCACCGCGUUCAUUGGCCGCGCGUUUACGUGUACGUGUGCGUGUGUGUGAGUGUCGUCUAGCUGCGUCGCCCUAAAAUGCUGGCAACAAGGUGUUAAAAAAACAAUUUUCAAACAUAAACGAAACGAAAACUACAAAG